rnacentral:rRNA from 1 species
AUUGAACGCUGGCGGCAGGCCUAACACAUGCAAGUCGAACGGUAACAGGAAGAAGCUUGCUUCUUUGCUGACGAGUGGCGGACGGGUGAGUAAUGUCUGGGAAACUGCCUGAUGGAGGGGGAUAACUACUGGAAACGGUAGCUAAUACCGCAUAACGUCGCAAGACCAAAGAGGGGGACCUUCGGGCCUCUUGCCAUCGGAUGUGCCCAGAUGGGAUUAGCUAGUAGGGGGGGUAACGGCUCACCUAGGCGACGAUCCCUAGCUGGUCUGAGGGGAUGACCAGCCACACUGGAACUGAGACACGGUCCAGACUCCUACGGGAGGCAGCAGUGGGGAAUAUUGCACAAUGGGCGCAAGCCUGAUGCAGCCAUGCCGCGUGUAUGAAGAAGGCCUUCGGGUUGUAAAGUACUUUCAGCGGGGAGGAAGGGAGUAAAGUUAAUACCUUUACUCAUUGACGUUACCCGCAGAAGAAGCACCGGCUAACUCCGUG